rnacentral:rRNA from 1 species
AAGUCGUAACAAGGUUUCCGUAGGUGAACCUGCGGAAGGAUCAUUGCAAAUCAGAAUGGAGAGAGUAAGAAUCAAUGAUAACAUUGUCUUGAUACUUUACUUGUCUCACAUAUGCACAGCGUGCUUGAUCAUCUUUGAUCGGUCGCUGAUGUUUACGCUUGUUUGUUUGACAAAUCUAUAUAUUACAACAUUUAAAACUUUUAACAACGGAUCUCUUGGCUCUUGCAUCGAUGAAGAACGCAGCAAAAUGCGAUACGUAAUGUGAUCUGCAUGAACCUGUGAGUCAUCUAAUUUUUGAACGCAACUUGCGCCGAGUGAUCGGCAUGUCUGUCUGAGUGUGUGAUCAUCCAUACAAUGUGUAUAUUGUGAUAUGGUGUAUGUAAGUUGUUAGAUUGUGAAAUUUAAUUCUACUACACUGAAUGAUAGCAAGAAGAUAGAAAAUGUCUAAUUCAGGUGCCAAGCAUCCCAGAAUGAAAACAUUUUCCGAAAUAUUAUUAAACUUUUGCACCUCAGAUCAGUCAAGAUUACCCGCUGAACUUAA